UAAUCCAAAAAUGUAACAGACAAAGAAUACCUACCAAGUAACAUUACAAUCUGAUGAUGAAUUGCUCAGAUUAUUUGCCAAUAGACAUACAUAGAAUAUGAUGUGUAAUUUCUCGUCAGUAGAUUCAAAAUAGAUUCUAAAUCUUAGCAUCAAUCAUUUAUGUAUAACAAAGGAUAAUUGUUAAGUUUUGUUGACGUUUUAAUUAUUUGUACAUUCCAUUUGUUUAUUUAUUGUGUAAUGGUAUCAUGUUACUAAAAGUGCAAUUUAUAGAG
rnacentral:lncRNA from 1 species